rnacentral:rRNA from 1 species
GCCAGACUCCUACGGGAGGCAGCAGUAGGGAAUCUUUCACAAUGGGCGAAAGCCUGAUGGAGCAACGCCGCGUGCAGGAUGAAGGCCUUCGGGUUGUAAACUGCUUUUAUAAGCGAGAAAUAUGAUGGUAACUUAUGAAUAAGGAUCGGCUAACUCCGUGCCAGCAGCCGCGGUAAUACGGAGGAUGCGAGCGUUAUCCGGAUUUAUUGGGUUUAAAGGGUGCGUAGGCGGGCAUUUAAGCCGGCGGUCAAAUGUCGGGGCUCAACCCCGGCCUGCCGUCGGAACUGGGUGCCUUGAGUGGGCGAGAAGUACGCGGAAUGCGUGGUGUAGCGGUGAAAUGCAUAGAUAUCACGCAGAACUCCGAUUGCGAAGGCAGCGUACCGGCGCCCAACUGACGCUCAUGCACGAAAGCGUGGGUAUCGAACAGGAUUAGAUACCCCAGUA